GACGAACGCUGGCGGCGUGCUUAACACAUGCAAGUCGUACGGUAAGGCCCUUUCGGGGGUACCCGAGUGGCGAACGGGUGAGUAACACGUGAGUAACCUGCCCACAACUUUGGGAUAACGCUAGGAAACUGGUGCUAAUACUGGAUAUGUGCUCCUGCUGCAUGGUGGGGGUUGGAAAGCUCCGGCGGUUGUGGAUGGACUCGCGGCCUAUCAGCUUGUUGGUGGGGUAGUGGCCUACCAAGGCGGCGACGGGUAGCCGGCCUGAGAGGGUGACCGGCCACAUUGGGACUGAGAUACGGCCCAGACGCCUACGGGAGGCAGCAGUGGGGAAUAGUGCACAAUGGGCGCAAGCCUGAUGCAGCAACGCCGCGUGCGGGAUGACGGCCUUCGGGUUGGAAACCGCUUUCAGCAGGGACGAAGCUUUUUGUGACGGUACCUGCAGAAGAAGCACCGGCUAACUACGUG
rnacentral:rRNA from 1 species